CAGUGCCUCAGUGAGUCAGUGGACGUUUACUCUCCUGUUGGAAGGGACGAAGAGUGAUUUAAUCUCAUUUCUCCAAGCGGUGGAAACAAGGGUUUUCUUAAGUUCAUUCUACCUUCUUCCUCCCCACAAAACUCUGCACGAGCUUAUUUUUUGUUUAUUGUUCUUCCAUUCGCAAGGAAAAUUUGAAGAGGCAACUCACGCCAGUAGCUUAGUCAUUUAUUUUUCUCGUCAUUUUUAAUAAAAACCUGAUUCUAUGUUCUCUCAGAAGGUUUCGCUGAUAGAAGAACAAGAACGAAAGGGUAAUCCAUUCACUUACCCUUUUCCUUGUUGGCACGAAAAACAGAUUAUCUGUUCUUUCCUUUUUUUUUUCUCUCUUUUUAGAAAGUGUUUCUUCAGCAGUAGAGCAAAGGGUGAUUUUCACUGGAGGGAGAACAAAGAUGGGUAAGUCUAUUUUAGCUUUACUUCUUCUUCUUAUUUUUUUACAUUCAAAAUUACAGUUUCUUCAUCUGUUGAAUGAUGGGAUCUUUUGACUGACUAUUUUUUUUUUUUUAACCGCUUUGUUCCAUGUGGUUAUUAUGUUCAUUGUCUUGUUGUUUGAGCUUCAAAUGCCAUCGGAAUCAUUUAUGAAAAUCAUUGGCAUGCCAACAAUGUACAAGAAAAAUAUGGGUUGGGGGAUUUCGCAAUGCAGAUCGAAGAACCCAGCAAUGAGAGAAAUGAUGAUACCCAGCAUAUUUACCAAGUAAACCCUCUGAAAAAAGAAUAAGAUAUCAGGAGAAAGGGGAUGUGAAUGUGGCUGGGGAGGUGUAACUGGAGGAUUUGAUUGGUCCAUCCAAUGCAAUCGAAGGCUAUGUUCGGAAGAACUGGAGUUAUCAUCAUUUGGAACAAUAUGGAUGUCAUCUACCUUGGCUUAUAUAUGGAAGGGAUGCAAAUUCCCAUAUAGAGAUUCAGCUGGUUGUCUUGCCUGGGCUUGUUGUAGAUGUCAGUUCAUCAAUCAGUAUCUAUUUUGGAGCAAGGAAUGAGGUGCGUACUUGAUACAAAUGUCAUUUGUGGAUGCAUUACCACUGUUAACAAGUAAACAAUGAAAUGUGUUUAUAUUUUUAUUUGUUGAUGCUCUAUCAGUCUGUAGAAUGCCUGUACUUCACUGGUGACAAGUAGGAGAAUACUAUUACACAAGGUGAGAUGCACAGGGUUGGGAUCACAGUCCCAUUGGACAGACAUCUGCCUUUUCUCUAUGAUUUUGAAAUCCUUGAAAUGGUUCAACUUUAUUUACUUGAAAGUGAAUCUAUCAUCUGUAUUAAUGUAAACCAAGGCUUGCACAUGUAGAUAACUUCGCUGAAAUGAUUUACUCCACUUUGGUGGAUAUUGAAUUUUAUUGGGGUUGCUGGAAAUCAAACAUCUCUGGUCGGUUGUAUUUCUCUUGUUUGUAUUGACCAACAAUUUUGAUUCCCCCUCUAUACAAGUCAUGGUUCCAAUGUUUUGUA